UUCCCAGACAAUACAAAUCUCCCUGAAUUGGAGCAACCCUCCAGCAGGCUGGGGUGGGUGGGUAGGUGUGGGGGGAAGCGGGGGUGUGGGUCUCAGGGGUUUGUAGGGUUUGAGCCCCUGGACUAGGUCCUGCUUUGCCUGGAAAAGACUGGCUGGACUGCUGAGCUCUCACGGUGGAGUAGUGGGGUCUGACAUGAAGGAGAGUAUCCGGGACCCGUGGAUCUGGCUCACGAAGCUAGCUGCCUUCUCCUUUCUGGAGCUUCAGAAUGAAAUUUAGAAGGUCGAAUGAAAUCCUAUUGCUGUUUUCAAAGGAAAAGAGGUGCCCGCAAAAGAAGGAAGCGGCCCGGAGCACGCACACAUGGAGUUCACCAAGGUUACACAGCCGAGGAGCAACAGGGUCAGGACUUGGAACCAGAGCGUGCGCUCCUUACCACCGCGCUGCACUCACCCUCUGUCUCUGUCUCCAGGGUGGAUGAGACACAGCCGUGGCCCUCCAGGGGCACGGAGCCUCAGAAGCAAACAGAGAAGUUUCAGGGACGGAAUGGAGUUCAGUGACAGAGACCACAUGGCCUGCCAAGCCCAAGAUAUUUGCUCUCCGGACCUUUACAGAAAGAUUUGCUGCUGUCAGUGCUAAUGAGAAAGACAACCUAGAAAAAGAUCAUUCCAGCAUGCUCGUGGUACAAUCUGUAAAUUAAGGAGCUACCAGCCAGAGCAACCUCAGCCUGAGAGCUUAGCAGGUCUGCGCCUCUCCUUACAAGUGAGAUCGCUCUGGCCAAGAGGGGUUCAGUGGCUUGUCUGGGCCAGGUGGUAAGUGGUAUCUGGUAAGCAUGGUGUAUAUGUGUUUGGGUUUGGUCCCUGCCUCCCUUUCCUGCCCCUGAGAGCCUGUCCUGGUCCUUUCGGGUUUCCCUGCUGGCCAAUCCACCCACUAACCUUGGCCACCUGCCCAGGCCGGGUCCUGCUCCCAGGCCUUCCCCCUCACUCCCGUUACUCCCAUGCCAGGAGCUGGCUUCUCAACCUUUAGACCCCAGGCCAGGAUCUAAGAAAAUCUCCAAGAGUAUUCCCCAACACCUGCAACAGAUGUGCCCGCAAAUUACCGGGUCCCCGUGGGAGGUGGUGGGGAGCAAGGGAGGAAAGGGCAUCGUUUUUCUAAAAGCAUUACACACUUAAUUUGCAAAGUUACAUCACACGUUCAUGCACAGGUCAGCUCUCUGGGAGCUUAUUUCAAGACCAGAGGCAGGUCCGUGUUCCUAAGUGCAUUCUUCACAGAGAAGACAGCAUGGACGGGAUGGGGAGGACUGUACACGUCAGAUGCUUUCCUGUCUACAAGGUCAGAUGGGGGAGAGAUGGAUAUUCAAAGGGCCCCUUCUCUGCCCCUGUCUCGAUAGAUGCCAUCCUUCAUCCUUCAAAGACCCCGUGUGCACUUGAAGCACCCCCAUCUCACAGGUGCAGAAACUGAGCUACAUGACAUCAUGCAUACUUUUACCCCUUACACGCCCUGUGACACAGGCAAACCUGAACUUGAACUCAGGUCUCUAGACUCUCACCAUGACUUGAGACAUCAAAGGACAAAUGGAUCAAAGUCUUCUGGGAGAAAAGGCAGCCCCAGAGGCCACCUUGUCCACAUUCCUGGGGGCCGGAGAGCGCUUGGAGGCACCUGUGCUUAUCUGCUAAGAUGUCUGUUUUGGCCGGGUUUUACCAGCCUUGAGACUUCAUUGCCUGUCACCGCGGAGAGAGCAUCUCAAAACCAGGCUCCCUCCCUCUAUUUUUCAAAGCCAUGCUUCCCCAACCAGAUUUACAUUUUCAAAAACCCUUCAGAUAAUCACAGACCCAAGAAACUUCCACUCCUCUGAGGUUUAAUUAGGAGAAACUGUCUUUCUAGUACUUCCAAGAGCCUUGCUCUAAAUUUCUCAGCGGCAAGAGAAGGUUCACGGCGGAUGAGUGGGAGCAAGCGGAACCUGUGAACAGCCGCCCCCUCUGUCCCCCUCUGUCCCUUGCAGCGGAGAUAAAGCCAUGUUGCAGGUCACUGAAAUCACAUUGUGAGUGUGCCCUGUAUCAUUAGGACCCAGAGAAUGGAGAUGAUCGGAACGCAGGAUAACACAUUAGCGAUAGAUAAUAGAGUCUAAAUAAACAUAAUCAGCUUUCCUCUAUGUCUUCAGACCAAAGCUUAUCUAUAAAUACCCUAAUGACGCCCAACCAGCCAAUUACUCGUUUCUUGGAAGAGCCCCUUAUUAAUGGCGUUGCAGUGAGGGAAAAACAUUAAUUAUUGGACACAGUGGGAUCUUUUACGUUCUGUCUGGUCCGGACAGCACCAAUUAAUGCAACAAUUAUUAUCAACGACCGUGGCAGCAUACCGAGUGCAGCCACCCCAGGCUGGUUCGAUGGGGUGGGAAGAACGUGCACGCUGGGAAGACAUCACCCACACUCUUUUCAUGGAGCCUGCUUCUUCAUCACUGCGGAAGCUGCCGGAACAAAGCAGAGAGUGGCCAGAGUGUGUUGGUUUUUCUAUUUAAGCCAUAAGAUAGUAGUCCUGGGGUGCUGAAUGGGGGAGAGUGGGAGGAGUCAGGCACUGGUCUGUUGUGUUGAGUUGCUAAGUGAAACUAGGCAGAAGAGUAGAGAAGAGAGGCCACCUUCAGAGCAUGGAGCGUCUGGCUUGGCUCCUGCACACUCCUCCAUACUCUUCUCUCCCACUCAUUAUAGUACACCCCAUGCUUCUCCCUCAGCUUUUCCAGUUCAGCUGUGUUCUAUCCUGCCCCAGGACAUUUGCACAAGCUAUUGUUAAUACCCCAAAGAGCGUCUCUGUCCUUUAUAAGGCUGACUCCUUUCUGAAUGUGGUACAAAGGUUCCCUUUGCAGAAAGGUCUUUCUUGAUCUUGAACCCCAAAUACAAAUUUUCUUAAUAUUAGUCACUUCUUGUUUCUAUUUUUGCACAAAGUCAAUCAUAAGUCUUGAGAUAUUUAACAGCUCUAUCUUAUUAUUUUAUUUGUGUCUGUCUCCCUCACAAGAAUGUAAGCUCCAUGAGGGCAAGGACUUUGUCUUUUUUCUCCAGCAUCUACCCAAGUGUUUUGCAUUUAGGAGGGGCUCAAUAGAUGUUUGGUGAGUGAGUAAAUAAUGCACGGUGUAGAAACAGAUUGUACUUGCAGGUGCUAUGGAGAGUAAACCAGCUAUCUUCUUGCAAAAAUUCCACAAAGGGGAAAAUAAAUUGUUCUAUUCAGAGCACUAACAUCUUCUGCAGACUCUGUGUCAGCUGUACUUCUGCACUUCAUAGGUGAUGGACAUGCUUGAGGGGCCUGUGAUGGGCUGUCCUGUAACCUACUGGCUUCUAUUAUCACUCACAUCAUGGCCCGUUAUUUGAGCUGACUACAAAUCAGUCUGCUCUGCCCAAGGUACAAACCUGUUGCAGGAAUGCUUUUAUUUUUCUCUUCUCGGUGACAAGGAGGGGCUCUCUUCUGGGAGGCAUUAAUUACAAAGCACUUUGGAAAAUUAGUCCAGUGAAAGAUGGAAGGGCUCCCCUGAGCCGUGGUCAGGGCUCUGUGUAGUGGGCCUGCCCCUGUGGCCCUUCUGGAGAAAGAUCUCUAGGCUAUUUGUGCUAGAAGUUACCCUUUGGAGUGUUAAAGAAGUUCAUAUGUGUUAUUCAAGGUCAAAGCCCAGUUCAAGAAACUUACCUGACCUUCCUGCACCUCUGCAAUCUGUAGUUACUAACCACAUCCAACCCUGUGCACCCUUCCCUGAGAUGACCUUCUUCUGAGGUUUUCUAACCAAAGUGGAGCCAUGGAAGCUCAGAGGCAGUCCUGGGGUGUACCCAGCCUAGGACUGCUGUACAGAUGUGGCCACAGCAAGAAUUACCAUCCCAUUUCUUCCAAAUAACCAUCUCCAGGGAAAUACUUAGAAAUGACAGGGACACUCAAGGCAUCUGUCAGGGCUGGUUUUUCUUUCAUCUCCCUGAGAAUGGCAAUGACCUCAACUCACAAUCAUCUCACCCGCUCCGCACGCCUCUAACACAUUUGAUCUUGACCCUGCAGUUAGGCGCAAGGGUGGACUACUCAGUUCCUGGUCUGUUUGGGGGAAGAAAGGUGGGGAUCCACUGGAGGGCAGGGUAUACAGUGUCUCUACACCCUGCUCAGCGCCUAGCUUGCUGAUGCCUUGGCCAUGUCCAGUAGAAGUUUAUCUCAGUGCUCCACUUUGUCAACAUUCUGGACCCUUCCUCUGACCGCUGAGACCAGCCUGUGACCCAUGGAGAGUGGGAACCAGAAACUAUUCAUCCUUCUAUCUCCGGUGCCUGGCCCAGGGUCCUAGCCCCAGAAUGACUUUCAGCCUUCAGAAUGAGCGAAUGUGUAAGCCCUUGAAAGAAGCUGCCGAGGGCAUUUCAAAGGGAGCUGUCCCUGCUGUGGAAUGCCCAUCCUUACCCUCCUGCCCAAGAAGGAGCAUUUGGAGUUACUGUGUGUUUCUGUAUGCCCAGCAGGAAAAUGAAACAUUAUAGCGAGAUGUUUCCAGACAAGGAAGCUGGUGGAUCUGAGUUCAAAUCCCAGUCCUGCCACCUACUGGCAGAGGGUAUUGGACAUGUUCCUGAACCUUCUGGUGCCUUUGUUUCCUUGUAUGGAAAAUACAAAUAAUGGUCGUGAUCUCCUCAUGCUGGAGGGGUGUUUGAUGUUUGGCUAAUAUCAGUCGAGUGUUAAGCAUGGUGUUUGGGACAAAAUAAACCUCCAAUAAAUAUUAA